UUGCUGCUUCGCUGACGAGUGGCGGACGGGUGAGUAAUGUCUGGGAAACUGCCUGAUGGAGAGGGAUAACUACUGGAAACGGUAGCUAAUACCGCAUAACGUCGCAAGACCAAAGAGGGGGACCUUCGGGCCUCUUGCCAUCGGAUGUGCCCAGAUGGGAUUAGCUAGUAGGUGGGGUAACGGCUCACCUAGGCGACGAUCCCUAGCUGGUCUGAGAGGAUGACCAGCCACACUGGAACUGAGACACGGUCCAGACUCCUACGGGAGGCAGCAGUGGGGAAUAUUGCACAAUGGGCGCAAGCCUGAUGCAGCCAUGCCGCGUGUAUGAAGAAGGCCUUCGGGUUGUAAAGUACUUUCAGCGGGGAGGAAGGCGACAAGGUUAAUAACCUUGUCGAUUGACGUUACCCGCAGAAGAAGCACCGGCUAACUCCGUGCCAGCAGCCGCGGUAAUACGGAGGGUGCAAGCGUUAAUCGGAAUUACUGGGCGUAAAGCGCACGCAGGCGGUCUGUCAAGUCGGAUGUGAAAUCCCCGGGCUCAACCUGGGAACUGCAUUCGAAACUGGCAGGCUAGGGUCUUGUAGAGGGGGGUAGAAUUCCAGGUGUAGCGGUGAAAUGCGUAGAGAUCUGGAGGAAUACCGGUGGCGAAGGCGGCCCCCUGGACAAAGACUGACGCUCAGGUGCGAAAGCGAGGGGAGCAAACAGGAUUAGAUACCCUGGUAGUCCACGCCGUAAACGAUGUCGACUUGGAGGUUGUGCCCUUGAGGCGUGGCUUCCGGAGCUAACGCGUUAAGUCGACCGCCU
rnacentral:rRNA from 1 species